UGGGGUGUAGCUUAGUGUUAGAGCAUGUGCUUAGUAUGUUCAAGGCUCUGGGUUCGAACUCCAGCACUGGAA
rnacentral:tRNA from 1 species